UACGAGGGGGGCGAGCGUUGUUCGGAAUUAUUGGGCGUAAAGGGUGCGUAGGCGGUUUGGUAAGUCUGAUGUGAAAUCUAUGGGCUCAACUCAUAGUCUGCAUCGGAAACUGCCGGGCUUGAGUGUGGGAGAGGUGAGUGGAAUUCCUGGUGUAGCGGUGAAAUGCGUAGAUAUCGGGAGGAACACCUGUGGCGAAAGCGGCUCACUGGACCACAACUGACGCUGAUGCGCGAAAAGCUAGGGGGAGCAAACAGGG
rnacentral:rRNA from 1 species